ACAUUCUGCAAAGGGCAAAGAAACACCUUGCUGGUGGUGGCAUUCUUAUACCAGCCAGGGACAGAGCAGAUGGCUGUCCUUUGUUCUUCCUUGUUUGAUGCUUGGCCUGGUGGCCAAAGCGGUUUUAUGCCUAGGACUCAUAA